GAGGUUGUGGCUCAGUGGUAGAGCGGCUUGCCUAGCAUGCAUGAGGCGCACUGGGUUCAAUCCUCAGCACUACA
rnacentral:tRNA from 1 species